rnacentral:lncRNA from 1 species
GAAUCGGGCGAUGGCGGAUCUCGGCGGCGGCAAGAGGCGGCACGGGCGGAGACGGCGAAGACGGAGCGAGGCCGGCGGAGACGGCGAAGGCGGAGCGAGGCCCGAACGGCACGGACACAGGGGCGGCGCGGCUCGGUUGACGGAGGAGAGGGCGUCGGCAGCAGAGACGGCACGGCAGGGGGCGGCGGCAAUGGCGUCGGCGGC